CCUACGGGAGGCUGCAGUGAGGAAUAAUUGUCAAUGGGCGCUAGCCUGAACGUGCCAAGUAGCGUGAAGGAUUGCUGCUCUUUGGGUUGUAAACUCCUUUUAUAUGGGAAUAAAUUGCAGUAUGUAUACUGCUAUGCAUGUACCUUACGAAUAAGGCUCGGCCAACCCCGUGACUGCAGCCGUGGUAAUACGGAGGCGCCGAGCGUUAGCCGGAAUUAUUGGGUUGAAUGGGAGCGUAGGCGGGUUGUUAAGCGGGUUGUGAAAGUGUGCGGAUCAACCGUAAAAUUGCAGUUGAUACUGGCAUCCUUGAGUACAGUAGAGGUAGGCGGAAUUCGUGGUGUAGCAGUGAAAUGCUUAGAUAUCACGAAGAACACCGAUUGCGAAGGCAGCCUGCUGGACUGUAACUGACGCUGAUGCUCGAAAGUGUGGGUAGCAAACAGGAUUAGAUACCCUUGUAGUC
rnacentral:rRNA from 1 species